rnacentral:rRNA from 1 species
AAGGUUGAAACUCAAAGGAAUUGACGGGGGCCCGCACAAGCAGUGGAGCAUGUGGUUCAAUUCGAUGCAACGCGAAGAACCUUACCCGGAUUUGAAAGGCUCAUGACAACCGAUGAAAGUCGGUCUUGUAGCAAUACACAUGAGUACAGGUGCUGCAUGGCUGUCGUCAGCUCGUGCCGUGAGGUGUUGGGUUAAGUCCCGCAACGAGCGCAACCCUUACACUUAGUUGCCAUCAGGUCAAGCUGGGCACUCUAAGUGGACUGCCUACGCAAGUAGUGAGGAAGGUGGGGAUGACGUCAAGUCCUCAUGGCCCUUACAUCCGGGGCCACACACGUGCUACAAUGGUCGGUACAGAGGGCUGCAGAGCCGCGAGGUGAAGCUAAUCCCAAAAAACCGAUCUCAGUUCGGAUUGGAGUCUGCAACUCGACUCCAUGAAGCUGGAAUUGCUAGUAAUCGCGCAUCAGCACGGCGCGGUGAAUACGUUCCCGGGCCUUGUACAC